rnacentral:lncRNA from 1 species
GGCCAUGCAACAGUGGGAGUGGGUGGUGGGGCCGGGCGGGCAGGAGCAGCCCACUCUGCGGGGGUGUGGGGACAGACACGCACUCUAUGGAAGUACCUCGGUGGCACCAGGAGUCACUGGGGGCACCCAGCAGGUGCAUGCUUAAUGCAUGAUGGGUGAGACGUAAACAGCCAGCCAGGCGGGUCCAAGCUCUCUUCAGUGGUCCCCAGGGCUGGCAGCUGGCAGUGCAGGAAAUGGGGUCCCCGAGGCCUUGGGGGGCACCUCCCGUUGUUCGCCCCCACCCACAUCCGCUCAGGACACGCUUCCCACCUCCACCGCCCCCUUUCCCUGCAGGGACACCUGCCUCUUCCUGCCUCCCCGCCCAGCCUGCCUUUUUCUUGCACGUCAGCCAAAAUCCGAUUCCCCCAAGACUCUGCCUCAUCAAAGAUCCUCUUUCUCAUCACCAUAAUUUUCCAUUUGUAGGUUAAGCUGCACCUGGGGUUCUCAGAAAUCUGCUAACUCUCUUCCAACUCCCUGAACUCCUCAAACGCCUCGUCCUCCCCUGCUUCUGUUGUUCAGAGGACAGGACGUAGCAGGGGUCUGGAAUCUGAGGCUCAGAGCCCUUUCCCAGGAAGAAGAGGGCAACCAGCCCCUUUCAGCAUGUCCCGUGCUCCGUGCACCUCUGUGACACCUGGUUACUGUACUCUGAAGCUUCGCACACCCCCGCAGUCUCCAUCGUAACCCCAGAAAACCAAGGCUCAGAAGGCGACGGGCCCCAGGGCACCCGGACGGUGACGACGGUGGCUGUACCCUGUGCCAGGUGCCGUGUCCACGCUGGGUCACCUCGGGGGCCAAGACAGCUGAUGGCCGCAUCCGGGGGUGUGGACAGAUGGGAAGAGGAGCGCACCAGUCAAUGCGUGAGCCCAUUUCCGGCAAUCAGCGCCACGACGGUACCAACGUGGAGGGGCGCAAUCGUGCCUGGGCGGGUGGUUCGAGGAGGAGCAUCUGAGGAGGUGAUGUUUCGGUUGAGGCUUGAGUGCCGAGCAGAAGGCAGGCAGGUGGAGGUCGAGGGAAAAGCAUUCUGGGCGGAGGGAACAGUGUAUGUAAAGGCUCGGAGGCAGAAAAGGACUCAAAUGUUUUAGGGACUGAAAGAGAGGCAGCUUCCUUCAACUGCCAACUGCCAUGAUGAGUUAUUGCAAACUGUGGGACUUAAAACCACAGAAAGUUACCAUCCCACAGGUCAGGAGGGAACCAAGGAGUCGGAGUCAGCAGGGCUGGUUCCUUCUUGAGGGUCCUGGCAGCGGAGAAUUUAUUCCAGGCCCUUCUCCUGCUUCUGGCAGCUGCCAACAGCUCAUGGCUGACACACCGCUGCAAUCUCUGUUGCUGUCAUCCCACGGCCCUCGUCACAUGGCCUCUGUGUCUCUGUGUCCUUCUCUGUUCUUACAAGGACAUCUGUCAUUGGAUUUGGGGCCCAUCCUGAAUCCAGGAUGACCUCAUCUUGAUGUCUUUAAUCAAUUCCAUUCCCUAAGACCAAUUCACAGGGUGAAAGGUCCCAUGCACAGGUCCCAGGGGUCAGCGCUUGGGUAGCUCUUUUUGGGGUCCCCGUUCACCCCAUGGCAGGCAGCACGUGAUCUCGGUGGUGAGCCAGGAGGCUCACGGUAUGAGACGAAGGAGCCAAGGUGGCGGGGCGAGGCUCCGUAAGGCCUCUGGCCCCUGGCACGGGGUUGGCUGUGUUCAGGGUGCAGCUGGCAGCUGCUGUGGGGUUUGCAGGGGCCUGGAUGUGGGCACAGGGAAGAGAGGAUGAUCCUCAGAGCUUCCAGGGGGUCUGUGGGGGGCAGGGCCUCUCACACUUCAUUGAGAGGAAAAUGGAGAAACCAGAACUCCUGGGGCCUUUGGGAAAAUGGAGCAGUGAUGGAGGAAGAAGGGGAGAUGCCGCGGGAGGCCAUGGGACGUAUGGAGGGGAUCGAGUGUGGGUCGUGACAGUCCCCGGCUCACGGGUGGGAUCCCAGGCUCAGCUGGGCAGAAGGGCCAGCAGGAGGGUUAAGUGUAUCCUGAGGCCCGUGGCUGGAUAGGAUGUCACACUGAGUUUUUAAAUUACACUUUUCAAAAACAUAAAAGUAUUUACCAACCUUGAGGGGCUGCACCUGCUGAGUUCUGAUGCCUCCUUGCGGGGGUCAUUAAGGAGAUGGAGGCUGGUGCAGAGGCCAGUGCGGGGCAUGCGCUGUGUGACCCUGAGCCAGCCCCUGCUCCCUCUGGGCCGCCCUUCUGUAUCAAUUACGAGGUCUCCAGGCCUCCGGCGCAUCUUCGUGCCUGUAAUUUUCCCCAAAAUCUGAGAGAAGCUUCCCACCCACGAUUGCCUUCCAGGCCUGCUCUCUGGUGUAAACACGGCCUCAGCUGAAAGGUUGAACUAAUGAUGAAGCUUCUCUGGAUUCAUUAUGUUCGCCGGGUUUCUCUCCCCUGUGGGAGCUGUGAUGUCAGAUAAGCAGCUUUUGGAAAGUGGGUAGCCGGGCUGCUGGCCUUCUGCAGGACUGGCCAGGGCAGGCUCAGUGGGUGUCGGCUGCAGAGGGAAGAUGUGUCAGAGGGAGGCAGCAGGUGCACAGGUGUGUGGACAAAUAUGUGGACAGACGUGUGCACAGGGGUGUGGACAGGUGUGUG